GUCUAAGUACGUCUUAAAACGGUGAAACCGCGAAUGACUCAUUAAAUCAGCUAUGGUUCCUUAGAUCAUAUAUGCUACAUGGAAAACUGUAGUAAUUCUAUAGCUAAUACAUGCAAAUAUGCCCUGACCCGCAAGGGAACGGGUGCAUUUAUUAGAACAGAACCAACCGGGGGCAGUUUCGUCUAUCUCUGUUGAAUUCUGUGAUGACUCUGGAUAACUUUAAUGAUCACAGUCAACCUUGUAUCGGCGACGGAUCAGUGGUAUAAAGUUCUAUGCAUUUACACUUGCUGUCUUGAU
rnacentral:ncRNA from 1 species